UACAGAGGGUGCGAGCGUUAAUCGGAAUUACUGGGCGUAAAGCGUGCGUAGACGGUUUUGUAAGUCGGAUGUGAAAUCCCCGGGCUCAACCUGGGAAUUGCAUUCGAGACUGCAAGGCUUGGGUGCGGAAGAGGGAAGCGGAAUUUCCGGUGUAGCGGUGAAAUGCGUAGAUAUCGGAAGGAACAGCAGUGGCGAAAGCGGCUUCCUGGUCCAGCACCGACGUUCAGGCACGAAAGCGUGGGGAGCAAACAGG
rnacentral:rRNA from 1 species